rnacentral:rRNA from 1 species
CACUGACGUCGCGACGCAUAUCAAUAAGCGGAGGAAAAGAAACUAACAAGGAUUCCCUUAGUAACGGCGAGUGAAGCGGGAAGAGCUCAAAUUUGAAAUCUUCAAGGUUCUACCUUGACGAAUUGUAGUUUAUAGAAGUGUUUUCUGUCUAGUAGAGUGGCAAAAGUUCUUUGGAAUAGGACAUCAUAGAGGGUGAGAAUCCCGUAUUUGGUCAUUCUUUCUAGCUUUGUGAUACACUUUCAACGAGUCGGAUUGUUUGGGAAUGCAGUCCAAAAUGGGUGGUAAAUUUCAUCUAAAGCUAAAUAUUGGCGAGAGACCGAUAGCGAACAAGUACCGUGAGGGAAAGAUGAAAAGAACUUUGAAAAGAGAGUUAAACAGUACGUGAAAUUGUCAAAAGGGAAGCGUUUGACACCAGUGUUGUUUUUCCGAAAAUCAAUUAAGAAUGCUCUUUUGUAUUUUGAGACCGUUAUGACUCAUCGGUACAUUUCUUCGUGUAACUUUCUUAAUGCACUUUUCGGUUAACAAGUCAACAUCAAUUUCUUUUGUUGUAAAAGGGUCAUUGAGGAAGGUGGCUUUCUUUUCGGAGAAAGUGUUUAUAGCCUUGUACCUCUGCAAUCGGAGAGACUGAGGUCUGCAGCGUAGAUCCUUCGGGGUUAGAUACAUUUGUGCUAAGUUAUAGCUUUUCAUAGACAACUUGUUGACUAUGUUAAGUCUUGUAGCUUACUCGCUUAUCGCUAUUUUACCUACGCUUAGGAUGUUGAUCUACAGAGCGAGAGU